UCUGACAGGAUGAAGAAUUGGCUGGAGGUAAAAAUCUCAUUGAAAAUCUUUGUCAGUGGGUGAAAUGUCCAGCUGUUAAGUGAAUUGGUAUGGUAUGGUGGCUAGUUCCAAAUGAAAUGGCUAAGCUUCACCCCUUUGAACACUCAACUUCUCAGGGAGUGAAAAUGCUGGAACUAGGAUUUGCAGAUCCAGAGACUAAAACGUGACUUUAAAUCAGACUGACUGCAUCUGCCCAUUUUGAUGGUGAAGACCCCGUGGGAAAGACUUUUUGAUAAAUGAACAGGCAUUAGUCUUAUGACAUUUCUCCAACAUCCUGCAGUCAUCUUGAUGGCCACACCUCACUUUUCUUUACUGUCUGCUACUCCUUUGCUUCACUAAAAGCAGAAAAGGUGAAUAAUUUUCAU